UCCCCUAGUAACUGCGAGUGAAGCGGGAAAAGCUCAAAUUUGAAAUCUGGUAGUCUUUUUGGCUGCCCGAGUUGUAAUCUAGAGAAGCACUAUCCGCGCCGGACCGUGUACAAGUGUCCCUGGAAUGGACCAUCAUAGAGGGUGAGAAUCCCGUCUUUGACACGGACUCCCGGGGCUUUUGUGAUGUGCUCUCAAAGAGUCGAGUUGUUUGGGAAUGCAGCUCUAAAUGGGUGGUAAAUUCCAUCUAAAGCUAAAUAUUGGCGAGAGACCGAUAGCGAACAAGUACCGUGAGGGAAAGAUGAAAAGAACUUUGGAAAGAGAGUUAAACAGUACGUGAAAUUGCUGAAAGGGAAACGCUUGAAGUCAGUCGCGUUGGCUGGGGUUCAACCUUGCAUUUAAUUUUGCCUGGCUUAUUCCCCCAAGUUGACGGGUCAGCAUCAGUUUUGACCAGUGGAUAAAGGCUGAGGGAAUGUGGCACCUCUUUGGGUGUGUUUAUAGCCCUUGGUCAUAUACAUUGGUUGGGACUGAGGACAUCUUAUAUAGUGCUUUAUUGUUGCUUUAUAAAUGGAUGCUGGCAUAAUGGCUUUAAGCGACCCGUCUUGAAACACGGACCAAGGAGUCUAACAUGCCCGCGAGUGUUUGGGUGGUUAAAACCCGAGCGCGUAAUGAAAGUGAAAA
rnacentral:rRNA from 1 species